GGCCCUGUAGCUUAACGGAAGAGCGUUGGCUGUAUAUCAGCCAGCAGAUGCAAGUUCAAAUCUUGCCAGGGCCG